rnacentral:rRNA from 1 species
UGUAGUUCCUGCUCAAUGAUUAUUUAAAUAGCUGCAGUAAUUUGACUGUACAAAGGUAGCAUAAUAAUUAGUCUUUUAAUUGAUGACUAGAAUGAAUGGAUUAAUGAGAAAUAUAUUUUAUUUAUUUUAUUUUUAAAAUUUAAUUUUUAGGUAAAAAAGCUUAAAUUCUUUUUUGGGACGAAAAGACCCUAUAGAACUUUAUAUAAAUAGUUAUAUAUUUGGUAUUUUAGAUUUAUUAUUAUAUAUUUUGUUGGGGUGACAAUUAAAUUUUUACUUUAUUUUUAAAAAUCAUUAAUUUAUGUUUAAAUGAUCUAUUUUUUAAUUAAAAGAUUAAGUUACCUUAGGGAUAACAGCGUAAUUUUAAUGGGGAGUUCUUAUUUAUAUUAAAGUUUGCGACCUCGAUGUUGAAUUAAGAUAAAUAUAAGGGGUAGGUUCUUUAUAGUUUAAGUCUGUUCGACUUU